ACCUCUCUAAACACAGUUCAAAGAUUUUUUUGGCCGUUUUUAGAACCGUACGCGGCUCAAUUGCAAUCAAGUUUUGUUCUGCUCAGUAAGGAAUGAAAAUGUCUAUUGACGCUAUAAAAUGGGUUUUAGUAAUGGAUAUUUAUUUUUAUGGACGCUUUUGGGCAUAAAAUCAUUUAGCAUCAUUUCUCAAAGCUACCGACCAUCGGGAUCUAUGUGCAUGUAUAGGUCUAACACGUGAAAUGCAUUUCUGCAGUGAAUAGAGUCGAUAUCAUUCCCUCGUUAACUAAUUACCAGCCUAAUGGCAGCAACUAGAACGAAGCUUUUAAGCGUUUCGUAUAAUUGAAAUGAAUACCGAUAUAUUGAUAAAUAAAAGAAAUGCAAGUAGGAAAUAUCUAAACAAAUAAAUGCUUUAGCGGUUCAUGGAAGUAUGAAAGUCUCACACUGCCGAAAUAUACAAAACCCGCUUAAACAGCGGAUUACGUAAUUUUUUUCUGCAAAGAUUGCUACAUGUGAAUGUGCAUACAUGUCCCGCAUGAACCACC
rnacentral:sRNA from 1 species